rnacentral:tRNA from 1 species
UGGGAUGUGGCUCAGUGGUAGAGCAUUUGCCUGACAAGCAUGAGGCUCCCCAA